UACGUAGGGUGCAAGCGUUAAUCGGAAUUACUGGGCGUAAAGCGUGCGUAGACGGCUAUCUAAGUCGGGUGUGAAAGCCCCGGGCUCAACCUGGGAAUUGCAUUCGAGACUGAAUAGCUAGGGUACGGUAGAGGGAAGUGGAAUUUCCGGUGUAGCGGUGAAAUGCGUAGAUAUCGGAAGGAACAUCAGUGGCGAAAGCGACUUCCUGGACCAGUACCGACGUUCAGGCACGAAAGCGUGGGGAGCAAACAGG
rnacentral:rRNA from 1 species